AAUGAAUAAAAAUUAUUACAUUGAUCCGCCAAACCGCAAAUGAAUAAUCUCAAAUUCCUAUAAUCCGCAAAUACCUAAAACAAAAUACACACACAUAACAUAUCACAAACUAUAUCGAUCAACACAUACACAAUAUCAAAAGACAUUAAAUUUGUAAAUCACAAACCUUCAAAACUAACACUGGCCGAGAGAUGUCCGACGUAGAAAACAGUUCGGCGGGGAUCGGAUAUCGGAGAAAAAAGUCCGGCUUCAACCUAAAAUAAAUUUAACAUAUAAAUUAAAUUUCACUAAAUUAACACUACAUAAACACCAAUAAAUACUACAAACAGUACAUAUAUCAUAUUAAAAUGAAUUAAAAUCACAACUAAAUAAACACUACAAACAGUACAUAAACCCCCCAAAAUAAAUUAAAAUCACAAAUGAAGUCAUAUAGUUAAAAUCACAACUAAAUUAAAAUCAUAAUACUAAAUCAAAACAGUACAUAUAUCACAAAUAAAGUCAAUUAAAACACUAAAUAAAUUAAAAUAGUCAAUUACAACACUAUUAUAAACUAAAUAUAUCAUAACACUAAAUAAAGUAAAUAAUUAAAAACCACCAAAUUAUUAACCAAACCAAACUAAAUUCAAAUCAGUAAAUAAUCAUAAAAUACCUAAUUCAUAUAAUCACAUAACUAUAAUUAACUAAAAUAAACAAAACUAAAUCAAACCACCAAUAUCAAAACCCCUAAAUAAAACCCCCAAUAACAAAACCCCUAAAAACAGUAAAUCACAAUUACUAACUACAAAACAGUAAAUCUAAUCCCAAUAUUAAUUAAUCUAAUUAAUAAUUAAAACAGUAAAUCAUAUUAUAUAAUUAAUAACAAAAAACUUAACUAAAAUCAAACCCCCAAAAUAAAACCCCCAAAAUCAAAACCCCAAAAUCAAAAAAAUAAAUCAACCUAACAUCUAACCCUAAAAUUAAACCACCAAAUACAUAUAUAAACCCCCAAAUCAUAAAUACAUAAACCCUCAAUGUCAUAAACUCACAAAUACAUGAACCCCAAUGUCAUACAACCAUAACCCCCUAAUUUAAUCAAAUAACAUACAUCAAAUGAAGAACAAAAUAGAAAAUGUAGAAGAAUAGGAAAAGAUAAUAUAAUUUAUAACAUGGAGAAGAUGGAGAAGAAGAGGAAGUUGAAGAAGAAGGGGAGAAAAUUACCUUGGGAAGGAAUGGCCGUAGAUGCUCGAUCAAAUCGGCCGGAGAUGCUAUAAACGCCCUUGGGGAGAAGUUUGGAGAACUUGGGAGAAGUUUGGAGAAGAUUUGAGAAGUUGGGAGACGUUUGGAGAAGUGGGGAGACAUUGGGAGAGUUUGGGAGAAAUAAGAAAAGUCUGGAAUUUUUUUUAUAUAUAUAAAAAAUCCUGGCGGCCUGGCAGCUGGGAAUUACUUAAGUUUCG
rnacentral:lncRNA from 1 species